GUGCUCGCUUUGGCAGCACAUAUACUAAUGUUGGAAUGAUACAGAGAAGAUUCACAUGGCCCCUGUGCAAGGAUGACACAAAAAUUUGUGAAAUGUUCCAUUUUUUA